AGUGAACGCUGGCGGCGGGCCUAACACAUGCAAGUCGAACGGCAACACCGUAAGAGCGUGCUGUUACGGAUGGGGAGUGGCGGACGGGAGAGGCAUACAUCGGAAUCUACUUUUUCGUGGGGGAUAACGUAGGGUAACUUACGACAAUACCGCAUACGACGUACGGGUGAGAGCGGGGGAUAUUCUGACCUUGCGCGGUUGGAUGAGCGGAUGUCGGAGUAGCUAGUUGGCGGGGGAAAGACCGACCAAGGCGACGAUCCGUGGCUGGGGUGCGAGGAGGAUCAGCCACGUUGGAGCGGAGGCGCGGCCGAGACGCCUACGGGAGGCAGCAGUGGGGAAUAUUGGACAGCGGGGGGAAGCAUGAUCCAGCCAUACCGCGUGGGUGAAGAAGGCGUUCGGGGUGUAAAGCCCUUUUGUUGGGAGAGAAAAGCAGCAGGUUAAUACCCCGCUGUGCUGACGGUACCCAAAGAAGAAGCACCGGCUAACUUCGUG
rnacentral:rRNA from 1 species